GAUCAUAGCUCAGGAUGAACGCUGGCGGCGUGCCUAACACAUGCAAGUCGAACGGACUUACAUUGAAGCCUAGCGAUAUGUAAGUUAGUGGCGGACGGGUGAGUAACGCGUGGGUAACCUGCCUUGUACUGGGGGACAACAGUUGGAAACGACUGCUAAUACCGCAUAAGCGCACAGCUUCACAUGAAGCAGUGUGAAAAACUCCGGUGGUACAAGAUGGACCCGCGUCUGAUUAG
rnacentral:rRNA from 1 species